rnacentral:lncRNA from 1 species
ACUAGUUACAACGUUGGAGCAAAUCUAGGUCAGAGAAACUUCAGCAUGACUUAUUGCAAGCCCAUGAUAUAAAUCAUCCAGGAGAGGCCAGGGAAGACCAGCUUCUGAGCUUAUUUAUUGUAGAAAAGAUUGGCAUUAAUGAGCUGGAGGAGCAGAACGCAUCCAUCAGGGCUGAAAACACCAGCCUGUCCUUCAAGGGAGUGAGAUGAAAGAAAACAAGUGGCAUCCAGAGGAACUUCACAAUCCUCUCUCUAAUGGGGACUGCAAGGAGCUGAUGAAUGUAAAGCUGAGAUUUUCCCUGAGAAUCUGGAAGUGAAGCUGAAAUCGCUUCAGUGAAAAGUGAGCCAGCAU